UGUGAUGGGGAGCGAAAUUUAGUAGCGAAGUAGCUGAUUUCACACUGUCAAGAAAAGUCUCUAUCGAGGUUAAAGGUACCCGUACCGCAAACCGACACAGGUGGGUGAGGAGAGUAUCCUAAGGCCAGCGAGAGAACUGUUGUUAAGGAACUCGGCAAAAUGACCCCGUAACUUAGGGAUAAGGGGUGCCACCAUCAGGUGGCCGCAGAGAAUAGGCCCAAGCGACUGUUUACCAAAAACAUAGGUUUCUGCUAAGUCGCAAGACGAUGUAUAGGAGCUGACGCCUGCCCGGUGCUGGAAGGUUAA
rnacentral:rRNA from 1 species